AGCGAACGCUGGCGGCAGGCCUAACACAUGCAAGUCGAACGAACUCUUCGGAGUUAGUGGCGGACGGGUGAGUAACACGUGGGAACGUGCCUUUAGGUUCGGAAUAACUCAGGGAAACUUGUGCUAAUACUGAAUGUGCCCUUCGGGGGAAAGAUUUAUCGCCUUUAGAGCGGCCCGCGGCUGAUUAGCUAGUUGGUGAGGUAAAGGCUCACCAAGGCGACGAUCAGGAGCGGGUCUGAGAGGAUGAUCAGCAACAUUGGGACUGGGACACGGCCCAAACUCCUACGGGAGGCGGCAGUGGGGAAUCUUGCGCAAUGGGCGAAAGCCUGACGCAGCCAUGCCGCGUGAAUGAUGAAGGUCUUAGGCUUGUAAAAGUCUUUCACCGAGGACGAUAAUGACGGUACCCGGAGAAGAAGCCCCGGCUAACUUCGUGCCAGCAGCCGCCGCAG
rnacentral:rRNA from 1 species